CAGAGGGUGCAAGCGUUAAUCGGAUUUACUGGGCGUAAAGCGUGUGUAGGUGGCUAAUCUAAGUCGGUUGUGAAAGCCCUGGGCUCAACCUGGGAAUUGCAGUCGAUACUGGAAAGCUCGAGUUCGGUAGAGGGUGACGGAAUUCCCGGUGUAGCGGUGAAAUGCGUAGAUAUCGGGAGGAACAUCGAUGGCGAAGGCAAUCACCUGGGCCUGGAACUGACACUGUGACACGAAAGCGUGGGUAGCGAAACAGGAUUACGAUACCCUGGUAGUCCACGCCGUAAACGAUGGGAACCUGACGUCGGUUUGCUCUGCGAAUCGGUGUCGUAGCUAACGCGCUAAGUUCCCCGCCUGGGGAGUACGGCCGCAAGGUUGA
rnacentral:rRNA from 1 species